UCCAUCGUGAGGUGGAAUUUGAAGGAAGCUGGGGUCAAAGUAUUUACCCGAGAAACACGGAUAUUAUCAGGUACAUACUAUGGGAUGAGAUUGCCCUCGAGUCUUAGUCCAAGGAUUACUUAGGCUUUGGAAUGUAAAUGAUAGGAUUGCAGAGAAUGAAAGUUAUUGGA
rfam:Anditalea andensis strain LY1 Contig_14, whole genome shotgun sequence.